UGCAAGUCGAACGAAGUAGCAAUACUUAGUGGCAAACGGGUGAGGAUAAUGUGGGUAUCUGCCCAUUGGCUCGGAAUAACAUGGGGAAACUUAUGCUAAUACCGGAUAAGCCUUCACAGGGAAAGCUUUAUGCACCAAUGGAUGAGCCCGCACUUGAUUAGCUAGUUGGUAAGGUAAUGGCUUACCAAGGCUACGAUCGAUAGCUGAUCUGAGAGGAUGAUCAGCCACAUUGGGACUGAGACACGGCCCAAACUCCUACGGGAGGCAGCAGUGGGGAAUCUUGCACAAUGGGGGAAACCCUGAUGCAGCGAUGCCGCGUGAGUGAAGAAGGCCUUUGGGUUGUAAAGCUCUUUCGUCGGGGAAGAAAAUGACUGUACCCGAAUAAGAAGGUCCGGCUAACUUCGUGCCAGCAGCCGCGGUAAUACGAAGGGACCUAGCGUAGUUCGGAAUUACUGGGCUUAAAGAGCACGUAGGUGGUUAAGAAAGUUGGUGGUGAAAUCCCAAGGCUCAACCUUGGAACUGCCAUCAAAACUUUUUAGCUAGAGUGUGAUAGAGGGAAGUGGAAUCUCUAGUGUAGAGGUGAAAUUCGUAGAUAUUAGAAAGAACACCGAUUGCGAAGGCGGCUUCCUGGAUCAUUACUGACACUGAGGUGCGAAAGCAUGGGUAGCGAAGAGGAUUAGAUACCCUCGUAGUCCAUGCUGUAAACGAUGUGUGCUAGACGUUGGAAAUUUAAUUUUCAGUGUCGCAGCAAAAGCGUUAAGCACACCGCCUGGGGAGUACGACCGCAAGGUUAAAACUCGAAUGAAUUGACGGGGACCCGCACAAGCAGUGGAGCAUGUGGUUUAAUUCGAAGAUACGCGCAGAACCUUACCAACACUUGACAUGUUCGUCGCGACUUUAAGAGAUU
rnacentral:rRNA from 1 species